rnacentral:lncRNA from 1 species
GGCAGAAGGAGCCUUGAACUGGAAGCCAAAGGAGCUGAAUUGGAAUUCCACCUCUGCUACUUGCUAGUUGUGUGACCCUGGCCAAAUCACUGACCCCUCUGAGCCUGGGUAGUGGUCUUUUUCAGUUCCUCAGAGACUGUGGUCUUCCGUGUCUCAGUAAUUCAGCUAUCAUGGCAUUAACCAGUUGGGCCUCUGCUCCUGGGAGGAGCUUGGACACUUUAAAGGAAUUUGGCCAUUUUUUUCUUGGCUGAAUGAGAUUGUGCAACUUUGGACUUCUUUGAUGAAUUUGAAAUGAUCAGGAUGACAAAGCUUUUUUGUUAUCAGCACAGGCAAGUCCUCACUCCCACGCCCAGACUCCACCAAAAAGUCACAGAUGCUUUGGAGAUGGCAUUUCUCGGACCUGAGGGGAAACUUCCUCCCUUGAAUCUGUAUCCCCAGAUGUUGGGGCGCAUGGCGUGUUCAGGGAGGACCAGGACCUGCGGCGUGGGGGCUUGCCAAGCCCUUUCCAAAGUCUUACACAGUUAUUAGCCCAGCAGAACACGAGGACGCUUUGUAAAUCAGUAUGUACGUGUUGGGGCGCGCACUCAAACGCACCUUCCUUUUGGAGUGAUUUAGCGAGAUAGUUUGGAGGUCACGGGCAUAUUCCUGCUCUCUGACCCUCAACACCCCGAGCAGACCGAAAAUUAAUGCGCGUACGCUCUUAAGUUGUCUCAAAAUGAAGAUGAAUUUUAAGCUUCCAGAGUAAAUGGAUGAAAUCUCAUAUGCUGGAACCAAAACAUGUUCAAAACAGAAAACUUCUCUUCAGAAGCAUUAAGUAUGAAAAAAAUAUUCUUGCCUAGGUCUUUGGGGAUUAGAGAACGCUUGCCCUUUUGCUAGACGCACAGUGUGUGUGUGUGUGUGUGUGUGUGUGUGUGUGCCAAACAUAGCUAUCUUUUUGUGAGAACAUACAGAGACAGAAAACAUAAAACAGCGCCCAAAAUUGCUACAAGCAGCAAGGACGCGUGGGACUUUGCUCCUGGCACUGAUAUCCAGGGGAACGGCUUCCACCUCACGACAACCACUUUCCCUGAACCCCCCACACACCCCCUGGGUCUGCUGCCAGCCUGGACAACCUUGUGGAGAAGCCACCAUCCCCGGGGUCCCAUUGCCAGGAUUCCCUUCUCCUGGCAACAUUUUCCACUCCCCACCCAUGGGACUGAGCUAGAACACCCCAUAUCACAGCAAGACUGACUGAUUGAGAUCGCUGGUCAAGGAGGCAUGGAUGAGAAAAGGAAAGAAGCUGAUCGCCUACCUGCAGCUCAAGGGGUGACAGGGUCCCCAAUGCCCAUGUAAUAUCGGGAGACCUCGAAGGAGGCCCCCUCCCUCACCCACACACGGGGGUGGCCCUUUGUGAAGGAUUUGGGGGGAUGCAGCAGCAGUCACAGAGGAUGAACAGCUGUGGGUAAAUUGUGAGCUAUGGAUCCCCAAAUCAUUGUGGUCACAGAUCUAUCAAAGUAAUCUAAUAAUAACCUUUACGUGGG